AUUGAACGCUGGCGGAAUGCUUUACACAUGCAAGUCGAACGGUAGAGGGGGCAACCCCUCGAGAGUGGCGAACGGGUGAGUAAUAUAUCGGAACGUGCCCAGUCGUGGGGGAUAACGUAGCGAAAGUUACGCUAAUACCGCAUACGAUCUAAGGAUGAAAGCGGGGGAUCGCAAGAACUCGCGCGAUUGGAGCGGCCGAUAUCAGAUUAGGUAGUUGGUGGGGUAAAGGCUCACCAAGCCAACGAUCUGCAGCUGGUCUGAGAGGACGACCAGCCACACUGGAACUGAGACACGGUCCAGACUCCUACGGGAGGCAGCAGUGGGGAAUUUUGGACAAUGGACGCAAGUCUGAUCCAGCCAUUCCGCGUGCAGGAUGAAGGCCCUCGGGUUGUAAACUGCUUUUGUACGGAACGAAAAGGUCUCUCUUAAUACGGGGGACUCAUGACGGUACCGUAAGAAUAAGCACCGGCUAACUACGUGCCAGCCGCCGCAGUAAAAC
rnacentral:rRNA from 1 species